rnacentral:rRNA from 1 species
GACGAACGCUGGCGGCGUGCUUAACACAUGCAAGUCGAACGGAAAGGCCCUGCUUUUGUGGGGUGCUCGAGUGGCGAACGGGUGAGUAACACGUGAGUAACCUGCCCUUGACUUUGGGAUAACUUCAGGAAACUGGGGCUAAUACCGGAUAGGAGCUCCUGCUGCAUGGUGGGGGUUGGAAAGUUUCGGCGGUUGGGGAUGGACUCGCGGCUUAUCAGCUUGUUGGUGGGGUAGUGGCUUACCAAGGCUUUGACGGGUAGCCGGCCUGAGAGGGUGACCGGCCACAUUGGGACUGAGAUACGGCACAGACUCCUACGGGAGGCAGCAGUGGGGAAUAUUGCACAAUGGGCGGAAGCCUGAUGCAGCAACGCCGCGUGCGGGGUGACGGCCUUCGGGUUGUAAACCGCUUUCGCCUGUGACGAAGCGUGAGUGACGGUAAUGGGUAAAGAAGCACCGGCUAACUACGUG